UUAGAAUGGAGACACUUCCUUGCUACAAGUUGCCCAAAUGACUCCAUCAUGACACGUAAAAUCGCUAGAUACAUGCACCGUUCAACCUUUUCCAUGGAGAUGUAGAAAGGUGCAUGUUGCAGGCCUUCCGACCCGACAACAGCACAAUCCCAACCAACUGACGACAGAGAACGGCCCGCAUCCUCUACGAGGUAUUGUCCGCUCUG
rnacentral:lncRNA from 1 species